rnacentral:rRNA from 1 species
AGAGUUUGAUCAUGGCUCAGGACGAACGCUGGCGGCGUGCCUCAUACAUGCAAGUUGAACGAUGAUUUCUGGUACUUGUAUCAGAAUGAAGAGUAGCGAACGGGUGAAUAACGCGUGGGUAACCUACCUCUUAGCGGGGGACAACUAUUGGAAACGAUAGCUAAUACCGCAUAACAAUGCUUAACACAUGUUAAGGAUUUGAAAGUACCAAUUGGUACACUAGGAGAUGGACCCGCGUUGUAUUAGCUAGUUGGUAGUGUAAUGGACUACCAAGGCGAUGAUACAUAGCCGACCUGAGAGGGUGAUCGGCCACAUUGGGACUGAGACACGGCCCAAACUCCUACGGGAGGCAGCAGUAGGGAAUCUUCGGCAAUGGACGAAAGUCUGACCGAGCAACGCCGCGUGAGUGAAGAAGGUUUUCGGAUCGUAAAACUCUGUUGUUAGAGAAGAACGUUGUGUAGAGUGGAAAAUUACACAAGUGACGGUAUCUAACCAGAAAGGGACGGCUAACUACGUGCCAGCAGCCGCGGUAAUACGUAGGUCCCGAGCGUUGUCCGGAUUUAUUGGGCGUAAAGCGAGCGCAGGUGGUUUAAUAAGUCUGAUGUAAAAGGCAGUGGCUCAACCAUUGUGUGCAUUGGAAACUGUUAGACUUGAGUGCAGUAGAGGAGAGUGGAAUUCCAUGUGUAGCGGUGAAAUGCGUAGAUAUAUGGAGGAACACCGGUGGCGAAAGCGGCUCUCUGGACUGUAACUGACACUGAGGCUCGAAAGCGUGGGUAGCAAACAGGAUUAGAUACCCUGGUAGUCCACGCCGUAAACGAUGAGUGCUAGUUGUUUGGGGCUAUCCAGCCCUAAGUGACGCAGCA